rnacentral:rRNA from 1 species
CGGCACGGGUGAGUAACGCGUAGAUAACCUGUCUUCAUGUCUGGAAUAAUACGCCGAAAGGGGUACUAAUACCGGAUAUUCUUGCUUUUCAUAAGUAUGCAAGCAAAGGUGGCCUCUGCAUAUGCUACUGCAUGAAGAGGGGUCUGCGUACCAUUAGCUAGUAGGUGGGGUAAUGGCCUACCUAGGCGACGAUGGUUAGCGGGUCUGAGAGGAUGAUCCGCCACACUGGCACUGGAACACGGGCCAGACUCCUACGGGAGGCAGCAGUGAGGAAUAUUGCGCAAUGGGGGAAACCCUGACGCAGCGACGCCGCGUGAGUGAGGAAGGCCUUCGGGUCGUAAAGCUCUGUCAAGAGGAAAGAAGUGUACAAUGGCUAAUACCUGUUGUUAUUUGACGGUACCUCUAAAGGAAGCACCGGCUAACUCCGUGCCAGCCGCCGC